UAUUGCACAAUGGGGGAAACCCUGAUGCAGCGACGCCGCGUGAGUGAAGAAGUAUUUCGGUAUGUAAAGCUCUAUCAGCAGGGAAGAAGAUGACAGUACCUGAGUAAGAAGCCCCGGCUAACUACGUGCCAGCAGCCGCGGUAAUACGUAGGGGGCAAGCGUUAUCCGGAAUCACUGGGUGUAAAGGGAGCGUAGACGGCUGAGCAAGCCUGAAGUGAAAGGCGGGGGCCCAACCCCCGGACUGCUUUGGGAACUGUACGGCUGGAGUGCAGGAGAGGUAAGUGGAAUUCCUAGUGUAGCGGUGAAAUGCGUAGAUAUUAGGAGGAAUACCAGUGGCGAAGGCGGCUUACUGGACUGUAACUGACGCUGAGGCACGAAAGCGUGGGUAGCAAACAGG
rnacentral:rRNA from 1 species